CGCCUCUUGUAAUCAAUAAAUAAGAGGUCCCACCUGCCCACUGACUAUAUGUUUAACGGCCGCGGUAUUUUAACCGUGCGAAGGUAGCGCAAUCACUUGUCCUUUAAAUGGGGACCUGUAUGAAUGGCACAACGAGGGCUUGACUGUCUCCUUUUUUAAGUCAAUGAAAUUGAUUUCCCCGUGCAGAAGCGGGGAUAAAACCAUAAGACGAGAAGACCCUGUGGAGCUUUAGACACUAAAACAGCCCAUGUUAUAAUGACCCCUUUACAAAGGAUUGAACUAAGUGAGGCCUGUCUUGAUGUCUUCGGUUGGGGCGACCCCGAGGAAUAAAGUAACCCCCGGGUGGACAGGGACAAUAAACCCUAAAACCAAGAGCCACCCCUCUAAUUAACAGAACUUCUGACCAAUUAGAUCCGGCAUGACCGAUUAACGGACCAAGUUACCCCAGGGAUAACAGCGCAAUCCCCUUUUAGAGCCCUUAUCGACAAGGGGGCUUACGACCUCGAUGUUGGAUCAGGACAUCCUAAUGGUGUAACCGCUAUUAAGGGUUCGU
rnacentral:rRNA from 1 species